rfam:Hordeum vulgare subsp. vulgare, WGS project CAJW01000000 data, contig: morex_contig_6503
UUAUUACUCCAUCCGUCCCAAAAUUCUUGUCUUAGAUUUGUCUAGGUAUGAAUGUAUCUAGUCACGUUUUGGUAUUUAUAUACAUCCAUUUUUAAAUAAACCUAAGACAAGAAUUUUAGGACGGAGUGAGUACAUG